GAGAAGUUUGCGAAGCAGGCGAAAGUGAGUUACAGUCGUACUUGCGUUCCUAUACAACGAGAGUUUGCAAUUGAGCAAGACUACUCGGAAUCGUCAGUUUCUCUCCGGACAGCGUUCGUAUUUACUUUUCUAAAAGAAACAGUAGGCGAUUUUAGGUGAUUGAAGAUUACUUUGAAUAAUGCAUUAGAGCGUGUGGAGAGUUGACAUUCUAAAUACUUCGGGAAAAUUAUGUUCAAAUGUAUAGUAACGCCUGAUGAGAUUUCUCUCGCAAAUAUUAGCGUUUGAUAGAAAUAGCAGUGGACAAAUAAAUAACUUUCACAUCAGAAUAUUCGGGGACAUCAGCCAUAACUUGUCAUAUCGUUUAAAAUUCAACAGAGUGGCAUUGCUAAACUAUUCAAGCCAUCGACUCUGAUGGUUGAAGAUGAUGUGCGAUCGGCAAAGGCAAUCUGGAAUCUGCUGGCAUCACGGCACAACAUCAACAUCGCUCUAAUCACAGUCAGAAGACAGUUGAAGAAACUUGAGUGGACUUAUGGAAAGGCUCUUUUCUACCCAAUGAUUCGUUUGGCAAACAAAGACCUUUGCGUGCUGCAGGCCCAGGCAUGAAUCAAAGCUGGCGAGACAUUCAGUGACAUCAUCAAGAGAUAUGCUGGACCCUAUGUCAGAGAGGUGUUUUUGGGACCACAUCAUGUCUGUUGUCCUGCUAAUGGCCCUUGUGAAAAAUGCGUGUUCCGGCUCUCGGAACUCAUUAAGAAGCCGCUUCUUAAUAUCUUCAAUAUAAUCAUUAAUUCAGAAGGUUAAACCCUUGUUUUCAAGUCCUCUGGUGGUUACAGUCCCUGGAAUGGGUAGCACCAUAGUUUUCAUCAAGCCAGCUUCUUUCUAUGUCCAUUUUGUCUGUUCUCUUUGGUCGCAAUAUCAUUUGGGGCGGGGUGAGGAGUACUGGAAAGGUGUGACUCCAGGUUACAAUAGGCCAUAAGUAUACAGCAGAUUGCUGAUUGUCCUCACUUUGAUUAUGAUUUAGCAACAUACUGUAGCACCAUGACCAGGAUCUCUAUUCAUUUAAGUGAACAGAUUAGGGCUUUCAUGAACAACGGAAAAUUGUGUGUCAAUUCAUAAACCAUGUGCCAUGGAAUCGGUACAUGGG
rnacentral:lncRNA from 1 species